ACGGUCGCUAGCUCCCAACAAGCGCACGUUGCUUCCCCAUAACACCAUGUGGAAAACAAAGCAUUUCCGGGUUAGCUCAUAGCUAAAUUGGCUACACGUUACCUUUACCUCUAAUAUCAUUAAAACGUUGCCAGCUUGCAGCUGAAACUAGCUAGGUCACCCUAGUUGACUUGACUGUGCUGCGCCUUGGCACCAGCCUGAGAUGGUGGGACUGCUAGAGAGGAUGUUCUUCAAGGAGGCCACAUUCAUGGACAUGAGAGGCCUCUCAAAGGGAUAGCAUAGAAUGAAAGAAAUCUCCCGGUGAGGGAUUUACUCUUUUUCAAAGCACGGAGGGCUUGGACAUGAAUGCCCUAUACAGUAUGACUUAUUUCAAUGGAAUGGCAUUUCCAAAAUGUCAAGAUUGUUUGGGAUUAGCAUCUGUUCUCACAUCAAAGACGCUGCAUAAUGAAUGGAGAGAAGUUGCAAUGGGACACAAAAAAGACCGUUUCAUUAAAAUGUGUCAUCUUACUGUCAACACCGGCCAUUUGACUUGAGGUAACUAUUGAAAAUUGCUCCUUUUAAAAAGCAUAUUCUGAAAAUAUGUGCCGUGCUUUUUUUUUUUUUACAGUCUCUUUACAUACUGCAGUCUGCUCAUUAGGAAACAUUCACAAAUGGGCAUUAUCAUUAUUGUAGAUUUAAGGAGCUUGAGAUAUUUUCUAUGAUUAUUUGAAACAUGACAGUCUAUACUGAUAUAAUGUUCAGUGACGACAAAACAAAGGAGAGCUCAUGGAUGGUUAAUCUCACAGCAAUCCCACAAGUACUACAGAGCUCAUAGUGUGAAAAGACUUAGACUGUCAGUCAGUUUAGUUCUUUACUGUCUCUUAAAACAUGGCCCUUGUAGUGUUACUGUUGAUUAGGUUUUUGUUUGAAAGUGGAAGAGGUAACUCCUACAAAGUCCUCUGUUCUCACUGACUGACUAACAGACUGUGUGAAUGGGUGUGAAGCUCUUGCAAUACCAGUAUUGUACCACUAGAGGAUGAAC